UCCCCCUUGGCUUAGUGGUAAAGCAUAUCACUAGCACCAUGGUAUGAUAAGAUCACCAGUUCGAUUCUUGUAGGGGGUA
rfam:Clohesyomyces aquaticus strain CBS 115471 BCR34scaffold_112, whole genome shotgun sequence.